rnacentral:rRNA from 1 species
AAAUAAAUCUUGCUCAAUUUUGAAGAUUAAAGAAAUUUUAUAUAAAGAAUUAGUUUAAUUUAUUAGUUAGUUUAUCUAAAUCAUAUUAUGAGCGAUAGUGUAAAGUAUUGUAAAAGAAAGUUAUAUAUUAUGAAUAAAAGAAAUUAUUAAUUUUGUACCUUUAGUAUCAGGGGCAUUCAAUAUAAUUUAUGUAUUUUAAUUAUCUCGAAAAUAGAAGAUCUAAAUAGUUAAAAUGAAACUGUAAUAAAAGUUUAAUUGAAUAAUUAUUUAGUAAUGAUACUUUAGUCGUUUCUAUAUAUCUAGUUUUCUUUGAAAUAAAUUUAAUUUAAAGCUUUUAAUUUUUUUUAUUAGUUGUUAAUUCAGGAGGGAUAAGCUUCUUGAAUAUUAUUUCAUAUAAAAUAAUAUAAUUUUAGUAAGUUAAUUAGGCUUAAAGUCAGCCAUUUUAAUAGGACGUUGUAGUAAAUCUUAAGAAGUAGAAAUUUUAUAUCAGUUUAUAUUUUGUAAGGGAAAUAAAAAAUAAUUUCAAAAAUUUUUUUAAAAUGAAAGCAUUAGUAAAUAUAUUAUGUUAAUUAAUUAAAAUUAAAUAAUAAUAUAAAUAAAAUUUAUAGCAUUAUUAAAAAAAGGAACUCGGCAAAAGAGCCUUUGCCUGUUUAUCAAAAACAUGUCUAUUAGAAUAUAAUUUAAUAGUCUGGUCUGCCCACUGAGUUUUAAAGGGCCGCGGUAAUUUGACCGUGCUAAGGUAGCAUAAUCAAUAGUCUUAUAAUUGAAGGCUGGAAUGAAUGAUCGGACAAGGGGCUAACUGUCUCUUUUUAAUAAUAUAGAAUUUUACUUUUAAGUGAAAAGGCUUAAAUAAUUUAAUGGGAAGACAAGACCCUAUAAAACUUUACAAAAUAUAUUAAUAAAUAAUUUGGUAGUUUAAAAUUAUAUUAGGUUAUUUUUGUUGAGCUGGGGCGGUUUUUAUAAAAAAAAUUAACUGUAAGUUAAAUUGAAAUAUAAAUAUAUAGUUUAAUAAGAUCCUUAAGUUUGGAGAUUAAAAGACUAAGUUACUUUAGGGAUAACAGCAUAAUUUUCCUUGAGAGUUCUUAUCGACAGGAGUAGUUGUGACCUCGAUGUUGAAUUAAAGUCUCCUUUUAGUGAAGAAGCUUAAAGGGUGAGUCUGUUCGACUUUUAAAACUUUACAUGAUUUGAGUUCAAACCGGUGUGAGCCAGGUUGGUUUCUAUCUAUUAAUAGUAUUUUUUUUCUUCUAGUACGAAAGGACCGUAGAAAAAGGAAAUUCCUAAAUUUAAGAUAAAGUUA